rnacentral:rRNA from 1 species
AGUUGUCGUGCCAACGGCAUAGCUGGGUAGCUAUGUAUGGACGGGAUAAGUGCUGAAAGCAUCUAAGCAUGAAGCCCCCCUCAAGAUGAGAUUUCCCAACUUCGGUUAUAAGAUCCCUCGAAGAUGACGAGGUUAAUAGGUUCGAGGUGGAAGCGUGGUGACACGUGGAGCUGACGAAUACUAAUCGAUCGAAGACUUAAUCAAUUUUUAAA